GACGACUCCGACGACUGACCGCGCCACGGUUUUGAGGUGUAUGAAAUUUCUUCUACUUAUUUCACCGGAUCGGAGGUGAACAUAGACGAAAAUGGGCUUCAUAAUCAGUUUUAUUAAAAAAAUUAUAAAACUUGUUUUGGUUUUGGCUAUAUUUGUUGGAAUCAUUGUUUUGAUACCCAAUUUACCACCAUACACCAAGUUCACAAGUAUUGAGCUUACACCUACUCAGCCUAGAGUUGGUCCUUUAGCACCGAAUGAAGCUUUAAAUAAUGCUCAAAGAAUACAUGUGGACAAAGUUCUAGGGCCAGAGGCCUUCCAAGUAGCAAAUGGGGAAUUAUUCACUAGUCUGGCCAGUGGAGAGAUUGUCAAGCUGUCCCCUGGUGGUCAUGUCACUUUUGUGACCAAAGUUGGACAACCAUGCACUGGAUUGUCACAAGAGCACAUAUGCGGAAGACCACUUGGAUUUGAAAUUGAUGCCAACAAAAAUGCACUAUAUCUUGCUGACGCAUAUCAUGGUAUUUGGAAGACCGAUCUUAAGACUGACAAGAAGCAACUUUUGGUCUCCCCUCGAGUUGCAAUUGAUGGCCGUGUACCAAGAUUCUUCAACCACAUUGCACUGGCUAAAAAUGGAGACUUCUACUGGACAGACUCUAGCAGUGACUUUAGCAUAAAAGACGGUGCCAUAUCUUUGCUUACUGAUCCAACUGGGAGACUUUUCUACUACAAUGCAGCCAGGAAUGAAAGUAAAGUACUCCUUGACAAUCUUUGGUUCGCCAACGGCGUGGCCAUAUCCCCCGAUAACCAGUUCGUGGUCGUAGCGGAGACCCACAGAUUCAGACUUAUGAAGUACUACAUAGACGGCCCUAAGAAAGGAAAGAGUGAGGUGUUUGUUGACGGCUUACCAGGUGUUCCGGACAACGUGCGCGCACUCCCUGACGGCUCCGGUGUGCUGGUGGGCCUGUACACGGUCUUCGACGACGAGCACCCCCUACUUACGCGGUCCAUGUCUGAGGCGCCCGUCGCUAGGAAGUUCCUGGCGCGCCUGCAGACUCUGAUCGAGCUGCCGUUCGCUUAUCUCAACACUCUAUAUCCGCACUUUUUGUUCGAGGAUGUAGAGUAUUUCAUCGGGCACUUCAAGAGCGUGUCCGGUAUUGUGCCUCCAAUGGCCGGUUUAGUACAAAUAGACUGGAAUGGAAAAAUCGUCGCAUCUUACUUUAACACCGACAAGAGCUUGAACCAAAUCAGUGACGCGAUUGUCUACAACAACAAACUGUAUAUAGGCAGUCCUCAUGCGAAUUACAUUGGUGUCGUACCCACCCCGCCGCUGCUGCAGAAGGCCUUCGCUUCCACGGCCAAACCCAAAGUAGAAGAGAAGAAAGAAGCCCCGAAAGUUGCUAAACCAGUAGAGACUCCCAAACCUACUACUACUACGACACCUAAACCUACAACGACUACACCAAAACCUACUACUACUACACCAAAACCUACCACUACUACACCAAAACCUACUACAACUACUACGCCUAAACCUACUACGACCACUCCUAAACCGACGCCCGCACCAGCCAAGCCCGCGCCGGCGAAACAAGAAGCUAAAGCCAAGCAACCUGAAGUAAAAACAACUACACCUAAACCAGCAACUCAGAAGCCUGUUGAAACGAAGCCUACUCCGAAACCAGCUGAGAACAAAGUUAAAAAGGAAAAGAGUGGAUCUUCUAAAGUUCCUCAUGAAAAAUCCGCACCAGAACAGAUCCCUAUCCAAGAGGAGAUACCUUCGGACACGGCCAAGCCCAAUAAGGAAACAUUAAAGGUGAUAAAAAAGGGCGGUCCGACAGAGAUUCCUAACCCUCAUCUGUAAGUAGUUAUUAAUUUAACUCUUAAAAUGUUCACCCGCUUACUUAUCAGUGUUUGUAAGUAUAAUGUGUGAACGUGGUUGUGGUCCCAGAAAGUUGAACGCUCUCACGAGUCCUCGUGAACAAAUUCGAUCAAUUUUUUUAACUUAAUCAAAAUUAUGGGGACUCAAUUCAUUCAGUAAUUAUUUGAAUGUUACUAAAUAUCAUUCCAAAUGGUCUUUUAACAUAAGUGUAUUCUUUUUAGACUGAAGUUUUUACCUUGUCCAUUCCUUUAUUUUAAUGAUAUUUAGUAUAGUGUUUUUAUUAUAUUUCCUUUAUUGGCAUAGAUACAAAUUAUUAUUUUUGUUGUUUUUGGUGGAACGAGUGUAUUAUCGACAAAAUCGGUAAAAAAUUAUUUAUAUUGUGAUUUUCCUAGGUGUUAUUUGUUAAAAGAGUUGGUAUACAUAUGUAUGGUAUGGUAAUAAUUAUUGUAUUAGCGCCUGAUUUUGAACACUGUUAUCACUUCACAUUUUAUUGCUUUGGAAUUUAUUAUGGAGGAAUGAGUAUUUUUAUUAUUUUUUUAAGGGUUUAUUCUAUAUUUUAACAGCGUUUACAGUACAUAUGGUGUUACUUUACCGCACUAGUGCGAUUAUAAGCACAUUAUGUCACUAUGUCGAAAAUUUAAAGGGCCAUAUCGCUCCUUGAGAAACAUAAGUGUCACGAUCAAAAUGAUUUGUGCCUGAAAAUUCAACUUUUCAAAAAUGGAACGGCACUAUUCGAAUGGUUCUUAAUUUUCUAUAGUGACACUAUGUUUCUCAAGGAGCGUUAUGUACUGUAAAACGUUGUUCGAUACACGUGCGAAUAGGUUAUUCGCAACUCGUGUCGGUUUAAGACACUCCCUUCGGACGAGUUUUAAUUUAUAGCCAUUCGUUUCGUAUUUCCUAUUUUUCGUACUUGGCUCUUAAUGUAUUAUUAUUUCAAUUUUAACCAACUUUCAGUCUACCCUCUUAGUAUUGUCUCGAUUCAAUUCAAACGGGGAUUUAUUUUCUUAUUAUAACUAUUUAAAUCUUUCUCUUAAUGCCAUAGAGUUUCAAUGAUAAUUUCACACGCUACGAUUUAUCAGUCAGUUACCAGUGAACCAACAGUGCAAUAAGUACCUAUAGUAAGUAUGUUUUUGUCAAGACUUGCGUUACAACUUACAACCAGAAAGUCAUUUAUUAGUUGUGUACGUAAUGAUGACUGUUAUUAGUUUUUGUUGAGCAGUGAAAAAUUUUUAUUUUUUUAUUUUUUUAUUCCUCGCCAAUCUUGUAAUUUUUUGAAAGUGUACAAAAAUUUAAAUUUCAAAAUUACCGUUAUACCUUUUGUGUAUAGGUAAAAGAGACUGAAUUGUUCAGUUCAAAAUAUCUGACAUGUGUAUCUCAAAGGUUUUGUAAUGAAGCAAUAUUUAUAUGUAUACUUAAGUACCUAAUAAAUAUGUUUUUAUUAAAA